UUGAUCCUGGCUCAGAACGAACGUUAGCGGCGCGCCUAAUACAUGCAAGUCGUGCGAGAAAGGGCUUCGGCCCCGGUAAAGCGGCGCACGGGUGAGUAACACGUAGGUCAUCUCCCCUCGAGUGGUGGAUAACCCUCCGAAAGGAGGACUAAUACAGCAUAAGACCACGACCCAUUGAGGUUGCGGUCAAAGCGGACCUCUUCUUGAAAGUUCGCGCUUGAGGAUGAGUCUGCGGCCCAUCAGCUAGUUGGUAAGGUAACGGCUUACCAAGGCUAAGACGGGUAGCUGGUCUGAGAGGAUGAACAGCCACACUGGAACUGAAACACGGUCCAGACUCCUACGGGAGGCAGCAGUAGGGAAUCUUGCGCAAUGGACGAAAGUCUGACGCAGCGACGCCGCGUGAGCGAUGAAGGCCUUCGGGUCGUAAAGCUCUGUGGGGAGAGACGAAUAAGGUAUGGCUAACAUCCAUGCCGAUGACGGUAUCUCCUUAGCAAGCACCGGCUAACUCUGUGCCAGCAGCCGCGGUAAGACAGAGGGUGCAAACGUUGUUCGGAAUUACUGGGCGUAAAGCGCGCGUAGGCAGCAGCGUGUGUCGGGCGUGAAAUCCCACGGCUCAACCGUGGAAGUGCACUCGAAAACUGCGCAGCUAGAGCCUCGGAGAGGAAAGGCGGAAUGCUUGGUGUAAGGUGAAAUUCGUAGAUUUCAGCGGAACACCGGGUGGCAAGGGCGGCCUUCUGGACGAAUGACUUGACGCUUAAACCGCGAAAGCGUGGGGGAGCCAACCAGGAUUAAAUACCCCUGGUAGUCCACAGCCGUAAACAAUAAUUGCUAUGUUGUCAACGGGCUUUGACCCUCGUUGNUGCCGCAUAACCCGUUAAGCCACUCCCCCUGGGGAGUACGCCGCAAGGCUAAACUCAAAGAAUUGACGGGGCCCCGCACAACCGGUGGAGCGUGUUGUUCAAUUCGACGCAACGCGAAGAACCUACCUGGGCUAGAAAGUACGAGAAUCCCGGGCGAAAGUUCGGAGUGCCUUUUCGGGGAACUCGUAGUUAGGUGCUGCAUGGCGUCGUCAGCUCGUGUCGUGAGAUGUUGGGUUAAGUCCCGCAACGAGCGCAACCCCUGUCGUUAGUUGCCAUCUAUUCAGUUGGGCACUCUAACGAGACUCCGACCUUCAAGUCGGAGGAAGGUGGGGAUGACGUCAAGUCAUCAUGGCCCUUACAGUCCAGGGCUACAAACGUGCUACAAUGGCCGGUACAAAGGGCAGCAAACCCGCGAGGGGAAGCCAAUCCCAAAAAGCCGACCUCAGUACGGAUAGGAGUCUGCAACUCGACUCCUUGAAGUCGGAAUCGCUAGUAAUCGCUGAUCAGCAUGGCAGCGGUGAAUACGUUCCCGGGCCUUGUACACACCGCCCGUCACACCAUGGGAGUCGAUUGCUCCAGAAGUGGCUGCGCCAACCCGCAAGGGAGGCACCUCCCCCAAGGAGUGAUCUGGUAACUGGGGUGAAGUCGUAANAAAGGUAANCCGUAGGGGAACCUGCGGACUGGAUCAC
rnacentral:rRNA from 1 species